GUCACCGCAAUUUGUGCCCCCCCGGGGCAGUUAUGGGGGGAAAUUUCCGUUCCGUGCUGCAGGCGCUGAGCGUGGUGCAAUGGAUGCUGACCUUCCUCUUCCUCGGGCCGGUGUCGCUGCUGGUGCUGCUGGCGCUGCUGAGGACGCGGCUCUGGAUCCUCCCGGUCACCUACGGGGGGUGGUGGCUCUGGGACUGGAACGGGCCCGACACAGGUGGGGACACUGGGGACACUGGGGACAUUGGGGACACUGGGGACAUUGGGGACAUUGGGGACAUGGGGACAUCACUGGGGACAUCACUGGGGACACGGGGACAGCACUGGGGACAUUGGGGACACUGGGGACAUUGGGGGGAUUGGGGACAUUGGGGGGAUUGGGGACACUGGGACAGCACUGGGGACAUCACUGGGGACACAGGGACAGCAUUGGGGACGUAGGGGACACUGGGGACAUUGGGGACAUUGGGGACAUUGGGGACAUUGGGGACACUGGGGACAUUGGGGACAUUGGGGACAUUACUGGGGACACGGGGACAGCACUGGGGACAGUGGGGACAUCACUGGGGACAGCAUUGGGGACAUUGGGGACAUCAGUGGGUGACACCAGUGGGGGGACAGAGGGGACAGUGAGGGGACAUUGGGGGAGUUGGGGACAUUGGGAGGACACAGGGGAGGGACAGGAGACACCUUGGGGACACUUUGGGGGUGACAUUGGGGACACUGGGGAGGUUGGGGACACCAUGGGGACAUUGGGGACAGCAGGGAUGGGGGGGAUUUUGGGGACAUUGAGGGGUUUGGGGACAUUCGGGGGUUGGGGACAGUGUCCCAGGGGUGUCCCCAAAUGUCCCCGAAUGUCCCCUCGCUGUCCCCAGGGCCGCGGCACUGGGAUUGGCUCCGGAGCUGGCGCGUCUGGGACCAUUUCUGUGACUAUUUCCCCAUCCGGGUACCGGGAACUGUCCCCAGAUG
rnacentral:lncRNA from 1 species